GGGGACUUCAAGAAGCAGAUGCCGCCAUGCUGGGUUAGGGCAAAUGCGGCCGGAAUUGGAACGUUGCCCUUACCCUCCAGGGUAUUGCAGUCUAGUGCUGAAGAUGGAACAUAAGCCAACGUUUAGAAUAUGAAGCCUAUAAAUGAUAGCAUUGAGGAAGGAAGUCCAGGCUGUCCUGCUGUAGGAAGGCCGUCAUGUGGAGAAGCCCUGGAAGAUGAGACAUCACGUGUAGAGAGAGGCUAUGUGGGUGAGAACUGAGCCAGCAAGCAGUCAGCAUGAGGCCACAGAUGUGUGAGGGAGUCAUUCUCAGCUCUUUUCAUCCCAGCCAUCAACCUUUUUGAACGCAGUCGCAUGAACUGCUGUGGAGCUAAUAACGCCACACAAGCCCGAAAACUGCCUACUCCUGAUAAGGGAACUCUGUGUCCUAAGAUG